UACGUAGGAGGCGAGCGUUGUCCGGAAUUACUGGGCGUAAAGCGCGUGUAGGCGGGUGCCCAAGUCGGGGAUGAAAGCCCCCUGCUCAACGGGGGGAGGUUUCUCGAAACGGGGCACCUUAGUGGAGUCUGGGAGGGGAGUGCGGAAUGGCCGGUGGAGCGGUGAAAUGCGUAGAGAUCGGUCAGAACACCAGUGGCGAAGGCGGCACUCUGGCCCAGCACUGACGCUGAGACGCGAAAGCGUGGGGAGCGAACGGA
rnacentral:rRNA from 1 species